UCAGAUCAUGUGGUUAAAACCACCGGCAAAAAACAAGCUUCUAUUUUAAUCAGAGCUUUGGCCUCAUCUACCACCAGCUUCUAUUCAACACUAUUUUCCCAGAAGUAAAACACAGGGCUAAAUGUUGCUUUCUUCAUUUCUCUGAGCAACUUUCUGAUUAGGCUUCUUAGGGACAGUAAAGUUGACAAAAGGUAGAAGGAAGAAAGACUUGCAGUAAUUCAUAAACUGAGCAGUCCAAAGAAAAUCUGAAAGAUCUGGUUCCUUUGUGUCAACAAAACAACUUACACAGAAAGCAGCCCAACAGGACCAGCAACACAUUCUCCACCAAGUUUGAAAUAAAGAAAACAGGCUUUUCUUAGUUGAUGUAGGGAAUCUAAAAUAAAAUUUGGAAGUUAAAGUUGUUUAAAAAGUUAUUUAAAAGUUAUUUCCUUGACUGUGUUGUAAAUUCAUUAAGUGAUGCAAAUAUUCUGCAAACUUUUUGUUCAAAAACACAAUUCUAGAAACCAAAUUCCCAGUCUCUAAGAUACCCAACUUGUAUCUCUAAGCAGUAAACUAUCAAGUAAAAGGACAGCUAUGAAGGUAAACAUUAACAAUGCCUUAGAUCUGUAUAGUUUUUCAUACUUUUCAAAGUGACUGAUUAAACCCUCACAACAUAGUAUUAUCAACCAAUAAUUUUAUUUGGAAUAAAUGUUUCUUUAAGGUGUACCUAGAUUUUUUCUUUAGAACAGAUUAAAGAAAGAUGUAAUAUGGUACACUUACUCCAAUAAAACUCUUUCUUCCUCU